rnacentral:rRNA from 1 species
GACGAACGCUGGCGGUGUGCUUAACACAUGCAAGUCGAGCGGUAAGGCCCUUUCGGGGGUACACGAGCGGCGAACGGGUGAGUAACACGUGGGUGACCUGCCCUCAGCUCUGGGAUAAGCCUGGGAAACCGGGUCUAAUACCGGAUAUGACUCCAUGACGCAUGUUGUGGGGUGGAAAGCCUUGUGCGGCUGAGGAUGGGCCCGCGGCCUAUCAGCUUGUUGGUGGGGUGAUGGCCUACCAAGGCGACGACGGGUAGCCGGCCUGAGAGGGCGACCGGCCACACUGGGACUGAGACACGGCCCAGACUCCUACGGGAGGCAGCAGUGGGGAAUCUUGCGCAAUGGGCGAAAGCCUGACGCAGCGACGCCGCGUGAGGGAUGAC